UACAGAGGGGGCAAGCGUUGUUCGGAAUUACUGGGCGUAAAGGGCGCGUAGGCGGCCUGUUAAGUCGAACGUGAAAUCCCCGGGCUCAACCCGGGAACUGCGUCCGAAACUGGCAGGCUCGAAUUCGGGAGAGGGAUGCGGAAUUCCAGGUGUAGCGGUGAAAUGCGUAGAUAUCUGGAGGAACACCGGUGGCGAAGGCGGCAUCCUGGACCAAUAUUGACGCUGAGGAGCGAAAGCUAGGGGAGCAAACGGG
rnacentral:rRNA from 1 species